rnacentral:rRNA from 1 species
GACGAACGCUGGUGGCGUGCCUAAUACAUGCAAGUCGAGCGGACCAAUAGAAGCUUGCUUCUGUUGGUUAGCGGCGGACGGGUGAGUAACACGUGGGCAACCUGCCUGUAAGACUGGGAUAACUUCGGGAAACCGGAGCUAAUAACGGAUAAUUCAUCCCCUCGCAUGAGGGGAUGCCGAAAGUCGUUUUACGCUGACACUUACAGAUGGGCCCGCGGCGCAUUAGCUAGUUGGUGAGGUAAUGGCUCACCAAGGCGACGAUGCGUAGCCGACCUGAGAGGGUGAUCGGCCACAGUGGGACUGAGACACGGCCCAGACUCCUACGGGAGGCAGCAGUAGGGAAGCUUCCACAAUGGACGAAAGUCUGAUGGAGCAACGCCGCGUGAGCGAUGAAGGCCUUCGGGUCGUAAAGCUCUGUUGUUAGGGAAGAACAAGUAUCGGAGUAACUGCCGGUACCUUGACGGUACCUAACCAGAAAGCCACGGCUAACUACGUGCCAGCCGCCGCAGUAA